CCUACGGGUGGCAGCAGUGGGGAAUAUUGCACAAUGGGGGAAACCCUGAUGCAGCGACGCCGCGUGAGUGAAGAAGUAUUUCGGUAUGUAAAGCUCUAUCAGCAGGGAAGAAAAUGACGGUACCUGCUUAAGAAGCCACGGCUAACUACGGGCCAGCAGCCGCGGUAAUACGUAGGGGGCAAGCGUUAUCCGGAUUUACUGGGUGUAAAGGGAGCGUAGACGGCAGCACAAGUCUGGAGUGAAAUGCCAGGGCUUAACCCCGGAACUGCCUUGGAAACUGUGCAGCUAGAGUGCAGGAGAGGUAAGCGGAAUGCGUAGUGUAGCGGUGAAAUGCGUAGAUAUUAGGAAGAACACCAGUGGCGAAGGCGGCUUACUGGACUGUAACUGACGUUGAGGCUCGAAAGCGUGGGGAGCGAACAGGAUUAGAUACCCCUGUAGUC
rnacentral:rRNA from 1 species